CUGAUCAGCAACGCCGCGUGGAGGAUGAAGGUCUUCGGAUCGUAAACUCCUGUCAGGCGGGACGAAGGUUGCGAGGCAAAUAGUCUCGUAACUUGACGGUACUGCCAGAGGAAGCCCCGGCUAACUCCGUGCCAGCAGCCGCGGUAAUACGGAGGGGGCGAGCGUUAUUCGGAAUUAUUGGGCGUAAAGGGCGCGUAGGCGGCCCGGUAAGUCAAAGGUGAAAUCCCUCGGCUCAACUGAUGAACUGCCUUUGAAACUGUCGGACUUGAGGCCGGGAGGGGGUAGCGGAAUUCCCAGUGUAGCGGUGAAAUGCCUAAAUAUUGGGAGGAACACCGGUGGCGAAGGCGGCUACCUGGACCGGUUCUGACGCUGAUGCGCGAAAGCGUGGGUAGCAAACAGGAUUAGAUACCCUGGUAGUCCACGCUGUAAACGAUGAGUGCUCGGUGUCGCGGGUAUCGACCCCUGCGGUGCCUUAACUAACGCGUUAAGCACUCCGCCUGGGGAGUACGGUCGCAAGGCUGAAACUC
rnacentral:rRNA from 1 species